AUACAGAGGGUGCGAGCGUUAAUCGGAAUUACUGGGCGUAAAGCGUCCGGAGGCGGUUUGCUAAGUCUGAUGUGAAAGCCCCGGGCUUAACCUGGGAAUGGCAUUGGAUACUGGCAGGCUAGAGUCUGGUAGAGGGUGGUGGAAUUCCCGGUGUAGCGGUGAAAUGCGUAGAUAUCGGGAGGAACAUCGGUGGCGAAGGCGGCCACCUGGACCAAGACUGACGCUGAGGGACGAAAGCGUGGGGAGCAAACAGGAUUAGAAACCCCAGUAGUCC
rnacentral:rRNA from 1 species